GGAUGUGAGGGCGAUCUGGCUGCGACAUCUGUCACCCCAUUGAUCGCCAGGGUUGAUUCGGCUGAUCUGGCUGGCUAGGCGGGUGUCCCCUCCUCCCUCACCGAUCCAUGUGCGUCCCUCCCGAAGCUGCGCGCUCGGUCGAAGAGGACGACCUUCCCCCCUGAGGAGAGAACCGGUCUUCGGUCAAGGGUAUACGAGUAGCUGCGCUCCCCUGCUAGAACCUCCAAACAAGCUCUCAAAAUAAUAACAGUGUUUAUUUUUGUGUUUCUUUGUUCCCGUAAAGGUGCGUUGCAUUGAGAAAAAAUCUAAAUAAAUAUAAAAUAAUUUGAAGGCAUUUUU
rnacentral:snRNA from 1 species